rnacentral:rRNA from 1 species
CUGACGGCUGCAACGCCGCGGUGAGUGAUGAAGGCUUUCGGAUCGUAAAGCUCUGUUGUUAGGGAAGAACAAGUGCCGGUUAAAUAGGGCGGCACCUUGACGGUACCUAACCAGAAAGCCACGGCUAACUACGUGCCAGCAGCCGCGGUAAUACGUAGGUGGCAAGCGUUGUCCGGAAUUAUUGGGCGUAAAGGGCUCGCAGGCGGUUUCUUAAGUCUGAUGUGAAAGCCCCCGGCUCAACCGGGGAGGGUCAUUGGAAACUGGGUAACUUGAGUGCGGAAGAGGAGAGUAGAAUUCCAGGUGUAGCGGUGAAAUGCGUAGAGAUGUGGAGGAACACCAGUGGCGAAGGCGACUCUCUGGUCUGUAACUGACGCUGAGGAGCGAAAAGCGUGGGGGAGCAAACAGGAUUAGAUACCCUGGUAGUCCACGCCGUAAACGGAUGAGUGCUAGGGUGUUUAGGGGGGUUUCCAGCCCUUUUAGGGCUGCGAUAACGGCAUUUAAGCACCCCGCCGGGGGGGGUACGGUCCGCAAGAGAUUAAAAAUUCAAUGGAAUUGGACGGGGGGCCGCG